AUGGAAGUUGCAGGAGGCCCAGGAGGCCUGGGUUUCCGGCUCCCUGCGACCCACCCCGGUCCCCCGUACCUGAGCCUCUCCAUCUCCACAGCCCCUGCGGUUCCCGUGGGCUACGGACCAGGCAUUGGUGAGGGCGGGAAGCUGCAGAAGCCAGUUUACAGGAAUGGGCUAGGAGCUGGAGUCUUCCCAGGCCAAGGGGCCCAGCCAGCCCUGGGAAGGGGCAUGAGCCCACUAAAGCCAGGUGAGCCCAUUCCCGCCCCUCCCCCACCUUGCCCUGAGGUUGCCGCUGCUGGAGCCCUCAUACCCGCUUUUCUCCUCAGGCUUUACUCCGGGACUGCAGUUCCCAGCAGCUCUGGGAGGAGGUGUGAAACCUCAAAAGCCAGGCAAGUGAGAGGACCCCACCCCACCCCCGUCUCUACCUACACCUCCACCUGCCUCCUUCUAGAACCCUCCUCACUAAAUUACUACCACUCAUAUCCCCGCUUUUUCUUUCCAGGAUAUGGCAACAGAAAUGGGGUGGGGGCCAAGCCAGGUCCCUGCCAUGGGAGGGUCCCUCCACUGCUUCUCCCCAGGCCUCCCACUUCGGGGUUCCCUUCUGCUAAAGGGGGCGGCGGCUGGGGCCCCAAAUCCCAGCCCUCUCCCCCAGGGCAGAAUGGCAAGUUCCCAGGAUACCAGCCCCUGAAUGGCUAUGGACUGGGAACAGAACUGGGAUUUGGUGGUGGCCUCAAGCCUCAGAAAGUUGGUUUUGCUUAUGGGAAUGGUCUGGGAGCUGGGGUCUUCCCUGAGGCCCACCUGCAGCCAGAGUUUCCCGGGGCCAAUGGCUUUAGGAAUGGUGAGUCAGGGACAGAGGACAGAGUGCAGGAGCUGGAAGCGGGGGAGGGCCAUCCAGGGGCUAGGCAGGAAUCACUUGGAUUUCUUGCAGGGUAUGGGGAGGAAGCACCAGUGUACUCCAAAGCAGCAGUUCCAGGCUCUGAAGGAAAUGGUCAGGCCAAGGCCCUAAGGGGCUCUUCUUGGCCCUCCAUGCACCCUUGGGGGCUUGUCUUGAAGCCUGGAUAUGGGCCUGGUGGCACAUACCCAGGGGUCGGGAGCCAGCCAGCGACCUAUGGACAGCUAAGGCCAGAGCUGGGCCCUGGACCGUUUGGCAGCCCUCCAGUGAAGAGAGACAGCAGUGGCCCACUGCGAAAUGGCUAUGGAGGCCACUGUCCUCUUGGGAAAUGCUGAACACCGAGGCCCUUUCACUGCCCACCCUGACAGCCUCUCUACCACAGCCGUGUGUUGGGCGAGGAGGGCCAGAUCCUGGGGCUUGGCUGCUGGCCGGGGGUCUCCUGCGGGCUAAGAGUAUUAAUAAAGGUGGC
rnacentral:lncRNA from 1 species